UGAACUUCUAACUGUCAAGAAAUAAUUUGAGAUGACAAUAGAUAUAUUAAAGCUCCUUAGAAUUCUCCUGAUUUGCUUUCUGGCUGGCUUCAGCACUGCACAAUAUUCAGUGAGUGUGGAGAGACCAUGUCUAAUGGAAACAGUCACUUUCACCUGCACUGUUGCUGGAAAUCUCUUGAGAUGGGAACUGUCAGAUAGUAGUACUAUCGAGAUCCUCUCUACCUCUGAUCUCAAUGUACCCAUUGGUGUAUCAGGUUACACUGUGACACUGAUUGCAGUUGAUAACACUACUUUAACAUCUACUCUGUCAAGAACAGCAGAGAGUGUGAUCACUGUGUCCUGUGUGGGGUUUAUGCCUGUAGGUACUAUAGGGUCUUCAACAAUCCGAUUGGUCGAUCCACCAGGACCACCGUCCACCAUCAGACAUUCCAUUUCAAGCAGCUCAGCCGAUGAAGUUAGUAUAUCUGUACAGUGGAACCCUCCUACUGAGACUGGUGGUAGAGAUGACUUCACCUACACAGUGACCAUCUCACCUCCGGCCCAGCUCUCUGCUACUAUCCUCACAUCCACCUCUGUCACAGUGACUGCUCAAUACAAUGUGGACUACACUGUCAGUGUUGUGGCUACCAACUGUGCUGGGAACAGUACGACAGCUAGGUACAA